AUUGAACGCUGGCGGCAGGCCUAACACAUGCAAGUCGGACGGUAGCACAGAGGAGCUUGCUCCUCGGGUGACGAGUGGCGGACGGGUGAGUAAUGUCUGGGGAUCUGCCCGAUAGAGGGGGAUAACCACUGGAAACGGUGGCUAAUACCGCAUAAUGUCGCAAGACCAAAGAGGGGGACCUUCGGGCCUCUCACUAUCGGAUGAACCCAGAUGGGAUUAGCUAGUAGGCGGGGUAACGGCCCACCUAGGCGACGAUCCCUAGCUGGUCUGAGAGGAUGACCAGCCACACUGGAACUGAGACACGGUCCAGACUCCUACGGGAGGCAGCAGUGGGGAAUAUUGCACAAUGGGCGCAAGCCUGAUGCAGCCAUGCCGCGUGUAUGAAGAAGGCCUUCGGGUUGUAAAGUACUUUCGGCGGGGAGGAAGGCGAUGUGGUUAAUAACCGCGUCGAUUGACGUUACCCGCAGAAGAAGCACCGGCUAACUCCGUGUCAGCAGCCGCGGUAA
rnacentral:rRNA from 1 species